ACGCACGAAGUUGAAGAGCUUGCUCUUUAACCAGUGAGUGGCGGACGGGUGAGUAACACGUGGGUAACCUGCCCAUUAGAGGGGGAUAACAUUCGGAAACGGAUGCUAAUACCGCAUAGUUUCAGGAAUCGCAUGAUUCUUGAAGGAAAGGUGGCUUCGGCUACCACUAAUGGAUGGACCCGCGGCGUAUUAGCUAGUUGGUGAGGUAAUGGCUCACCAAGGCAAUGAUACGUAGCCGACCUGAGAGGGUGAUCGGCCACACUGGGACUGAGACACGGCCCAGACUCCUACGGGAGGCAGCAGUAGGGAAUCUUCCGCAAUGGACGAAAGUCUGACGGAGCAACGCCGCGUGAGUGAAGAAGGUUUUCGGAUCGUAAAACUCUGUUGUUAAAGAAGAACAAGGAUGAGAGUAACUGCUCAUCCCCUGACGGUAUUUAACCAGAAAGCCACGGCUAACUACGUGCCAGCAGCCGCGGUAAUACGUAGGUGGCAAGCGUUGUCCGGAUUUAUUGGGCGUAAAGCGAGCGCAGGCGGUUCUUUAAGUCUGAUGUGAAAGCCCCCGGCUCAACCGGGGAGGGUCAUUGGAAACUGGAGAACUUG
rnacentral:rRNA from 1 species